ACGAACGCUGGCGGCGUGCUUAACACAUGCAAGUCGCACGGAGAGGCCCUGCUUUUGUGGGGUGCUCGAGUGGCGAACGGGUGAGUAACACGUGAGUAACCUGCCCUUGACUUUGGGAUAACUUCAGGAAACUGGGGCUAAUACCGGAUAGGAGCUCCUGCUGCAUGGUGGGGGUUGGAAAGUUUCGGCGGUUGGGGAUGGACUCGCGGCUUAUCAGCUUGUUGGUGGGGUAGUGGCUUACCAAGGCUUUGACGGGUAGCCGGCCUGAGAGGGUGACCGGCCACAUUGGGACUGAGAUACGGCCCAGACUCCUACGGGAGGCAGCAGUGGGGAAUAUUGCACAAUGGGCGGAAGCCUGAUGCAGCAACGCCGCGUGCGGGAUGACGGCCUUCGGGUUGUAAACCGCUUUCGCCUGUGACGAAGCGUGAGUGACGGUAAUGGGUAAAGAAGCACCGGCUAACUACGUG
rnacentral:rRNA from 1 species